rnacentral:rRNA from 1 species
UACGUAGGGUGCAAGCGUUGUCCGGAAUUAUUGGGCGUAAAGAGCUCGUAGGCGGUCUGUCGCGUCUGCUGUGAAAACUCAGGGCUUAACCCUGAGCUUGCAGUGGGUACGGGCAGACUAGAGUGCGGUAGGGGGAGACUGGAAUUCCUGGUGUAGCGGUGAAAUGCGCAGAUAUCAGGAGGAACACCGGCGGCGGAAGGCGGGGUCUCUGGGCCGUAACUGACGCUGGAGGAGCGAAAGCCGUGGGGAGCAAACAGG